rnacentral:rRNA from 1 species
AGUGAACGCUGGCGGUAGGCCUAACACAUGCAAGUCGAACGGCAGCACAGUAAGAGCUUGCUCUUACGGGUGGCGGGUGGCGGACGGGUGAGGAAUACAUCGGAAUCUACUUUUUCGUGGGGGAUAACGUAGGGAAGCUUACGCUAAUACCGCAUACGACCUACGGGUGAAAGCAGGGGAUCUUCGGACCUUGCGCGAUUGAAUGAGCCGAUGUCGGAUUAGCUAGUUGGCGGGGUAAAGGCCCACCAAGGCGACGAUCCGUAGCUGGUCUGAGAGGAUGAUCAGCCACACUGGAACUGAGACACGGUCCAGACUCCUACGGGAGGCAGCAGUGGGGAAUAUUGGACAAUGGGCGCAAGCCUGAUCCAGCCAUACCGCGUGGGUGAAGAAGGCCUUCGGGUUGUAAAGCCCUUUUGUUGGGAAAGAAAAGCAGCAGGUUAAUACCCCGCUGUUCUGACGGUACCCAAAGAAUAAGCACCGGCUAACUUCGUG